rnacentral:rRNA from 1 species
GGCUUGUUGAGUAUGAUUUCAAGUCUGACCUGCCCUAUGAAGAAUUAAAUGGCCGCGGUAUUUUGACUGUGCAAAGGUAGCAUAAUCACUAGUUUUUUAAUUGAAAGCUUGAAUGAAAGGUUUGAUGAAAAAGUUUCUGUCUCUUAGGAAGUUGAAUAGAAUUUUAUUUUUAAGUAAAAAAGCUUAAAUUUUUGUGGUAGACGAGAAGACCCUAUAGAGUUUUAUAUUUUAAUUAAUAGCUAAGCUAUAAGUAAGUUAGGUUUAUUUUUUAAUUAGAAUAUUUUAUUGGGGUGAUGAAAAAAUUAAAUUAACUUUUUUUUUAUUUAACCAUAGAUUUAUGAGUAAUUGAUCCUAGAAUUUAGAUUAUAAGAUUAAAUUACCUUAGGGAUAACAGCGUAAUUUUUCUUAGAGUUCUUAUCGAAAGAAAAGUUUGCGACCUCGAUGUUGGAUUAAAAUGAAUUGUUGGUGUAGAAGCUAAUACAUUGAGUCUGUUCGACUUUUAAAAUUUUACAUGAUCUGAGUUUAGACCGGCGUGAG